rnacentral:rRNA from 1 species
GACGAACGCUGGCGGCGUGCCUAAUACAUGCAAGUAGAACGCACAGUUUAUACCAUAGCUUGCUACACCAUAAACUGUGAGUUGCGAACGGGUGAGUAACGCGUAGGUAACCUGCCUGGUAGCGGGGGAUAACUAUUGGAAACGAUAGCUAAUACCGCAUAAUAUUGAUUAUUGCAUGAUAAUUGAUUGAAAGAUGCUAUUGCAUCACUACCAGAUGGACCUGCGUUGUAUUAGCUAGUAGGUGAGGUAACGGCUCACCUAGGCGACGAUACAUAGCCGACCUGAGAGGGUGAUCGGCCACACUGGGACUGAGACACGGCCCAGACUCCUACGGGAGGCAGCAGUAGGGAAUCUUCGGCAAUGGACGAAAGUCUGACCGAGCAACGCCGCGUGAGUGAAGAAGGUUUUCGGAUCGUAAAGCUCUGUUGUAAGAGAAGAACGGGUGUGAGAGUGGAAAGUUCACACUGUGACGGUAACUUACCAGAAAGGGACGGCUAACUACGUG